GGAUCUGCCCGAUAGAGGGGGAUAACCACUGGAAACGGUGGCUAAUACCGCAUAACGUCGCAGGACCAAAGAGGGGGACCUUCGGGCCUCUCACUAUCGGAUGAACCCAGAUGGGAUUAGGCUAGUAGGCGGGGUAAUGGCCCACCUAGGCGACGAUCCCUAGCUGGUCUGAGAGGAUGACCAGCCACACUGGAACUGAGACACGGUCCAGACUCCUACGGGAGGCAGCAGUGGGGAAUAUUGCACAAUGGGCGCAAGCCUGAUGCAGCCAUGCCGCGUGUAUGAAGAAGGCCUUCGGGUUGUAAAGUACUUUCAGCGUGGAGGAAGGCGACGCGGUUAAUAACCGCGUCGAUUGACGUUACCCGCAGAAGAAGCACCGGCUAACUCCGUGCCAGCAGCCGCGGUAAUACGGAGGGUGCAAGCGUUAAUCGGAAUUACUGGGCGUAAAGCGCACGCAGGCGGUCUUGUUAAGUCAGAUGUGAAAUCC
rnacentral:rRNA from 1 species